rnacentral:lncRNA from 1 species
UGAAUGGAUGAGGAGAGAAAUGAGGGAGGGAGGAGAGGAAGCGGGGAGUUGACCAUAGUCUUGUGUUUCUGUUCCAGCCUCCUGUUCUUCAUGUCUGCAGAUGAGUAUCUCUGAGGCUCAGGCGAUGGUAAACAUGGUAAAGACAACAGGACUGGCUUGGGAGGCCUGGGAGGUCUGUCUCACUUGCUGUAGACAUGAGAACAGACCCUAUCCUCUGGGAACCUUGGGGACCCUGAAAGUUAGAAGUGGGUUUCCUGACCAACAUAGGCUUCUUGGGAGAGUUGUAAAAGAAGAUUAAAGAAUAUAAGCCAAGAGCUAGAAUCUGGCACAGUGGUAAAGCACUUGUCAUACAAACAUGAGGUUUGUGUUCCCAGAGCCCACAGAAAAGGUGGCAUGCACUUGUAAUCCCAUGCCCACUUGCUAAACAGCCUUGCCUAGUCAGCAAAUUCUCCACACCAGAAUCACCCGGUGGCUCAGCCCUUUAAUCCCAGCUCUCAGAAGGCAGAGGUGAAGAGAUGGCGUGCUCUUAUGGAAGACCUGAAUUUAGUUCCCAGCAUGCAUUUUGAG